AUUCAGCUGACGAGUUCCGAAUAGGAUGAAGUGGCGCGCGUCUUGGAU
rnacentral:hammerhead_ribozyme from 1 species